GUGCUCCUGUCCCAUAAGUGCCCCAGCCCCAUAAGUGCUCCUGCCCCCUAAGUGCUCCUGCCCCAUAAUGCUGUGUCCCUGCCCCAUAAGUGCUCCUGCCCCAUAAGUGCUCCUGCCCCACAGUGCUGUGUCCCUGCCCCAUAAGUGCUCCUGCCCCACAAGUGCCCCCGCCCCACAAGUGCUCCUGCCCCACAAGUGCUCCUGACCCAUAGCGAUGUGUCCCUGCCCCACAAGUGCUCCUGCCCCACAAGUGCCCCCGCCCCAUAAUGAUGUGUCCCUGCCCCACAAGUGCUCCUGCCCCACAGUGAUGUGUCCCCGCCCCAUAAGUGCUCCUGCCCCACA
ensembl:lncRNA